rnacentral:rRNA from 1 species
AUGAUGCUCUGGAAUGGUGUGGGUCAGGUGGCCAACAUAGCGCAGCUUGCUGGGGUGGACGCGUAUGGGCUUAUCACGAUGAUCGUGGAGGCUGCAAGGACAGUUAGGAGGAACCGCCGAACCUGCCAGCUGUUGGCGCGGCGUGUGAAGAUGAUCGGAGACCUUCUCCGGCAGCUCGAGAGCACGCAGCUGAUGCAGCAUACGGAGACGAGGAACCCAGUUGAGCAGCUGGAGGAGACUCUCCGGCAUACGUACGUGCUCAUCAGAUCCUGUCAGGAUGGCAGCUACCUGUACAGCUGCUUUAUGGGAGGGAAGCAAGCUGACCAGCUCCAUCAGGUGCAGAAUGAGAUCACCUUCUACCUCCAGCUCUUCCCUCUUGUCGGCUUUGUCGAUACCAGUCGGACCUGGGCACGGCUUCUGCACACAGCUGACCCUCUUGGUACAGAGGGUACUAUGGAUGAGUUACAUGCAGUACAUCAUUCAGAACAUAACAAUAGAAAACUCAGAACAGAGGCCCUCAAGGUAACUCAAUUAGAAGAUCUGGAAACUCCUUGCACAAAAUCCAAGGAAGAACAAAAAGCAAGCCAAGUCAUGAAUAUGGAGGAACUAGUCAAUCUCAUCGGUGUUGGAAAAGGAGUAGAGCUACCCUAUUUUAGUUUCUCUCAGAUAUUGGCUGCUACAGACAAUUUAUCAUUACAGAACUUGCUUGGAAAUGGUGGAUUCGGUUGUAUUUACAAGGGCAAACUGCCUGAUGGUCUUGAUAUUGCUAUCAAAAGACACAGCACAUCUUCACAUCAAGGCCUAUCGGAGUUCCGAGCUGAGAUUGAAGUCAUUCCAAAUCUUCGACACAAAAAUAUAAUUUUGCUGCUUGGGUUUUGUGUUCAAGGAAAAGAGAAGAUACUUGUCUAUGAAUAUAUGUCAAAUAAUAGCUUGGCAGCCAUCAUUUCUGACGAGUCAAAAAGGAAAUUGCUUAAUUGGUCAAAGCGUAUUCAAAUAAUCAAAGGGAUAGCAGAUGGCCUUGUUUAUCUGCAUCUGCAUUCUCAGAUGUGCAUUGUCCACAGGGAUUUGAAAGCAAGUAAUGUCCUGUUGGAUCCUGAAAUGAAUGUUAAAAUUUCUGAUUUCGGUCUGGCUAAAAAGAUAGCUCCAGAUGCGAUUGUGCAAGAUCGUGUAUACGGCACAUAUGGCUAUGCAGAUCCUGAAUAUGUUGCUACUGGAAUGAUAUCACAAAAGGCAGAUGUAUACAGCUUUGGCGUUGUAGUUCUAGAGAUAAUAUGUGGAAAGAUGUCCCGGUCUUAUAUGGUGAAGGCGAAGAAGAGCUCAUCUCUAGGAUCACUUCCUGACCACGCACGCAAGUACCGGAAGAGGCCCCGCAAGCUUGUUGACCCACUGCUACGCGCUAGCAAGAGCGAGAGAGCUCAGAUUGCGGAAUGCGUUAAGGUGGCUCUGCUCUGCGUCCAUUGUCGUCCUGAAUGUAGACCGAACAUGUCAGAAGUUGUCGCGAUGCUCUGCAGUGUCGGGAGUGGGAGAUCAUCACCAGCCUACUGUUGUCACUGA